AGUGAACGCUGGCGGUAGGCCUAACACAUGCAAGUCGAACGGCAGCACAGUAAGAGCUUGCUCUUACGGGUGGCGAGUGGCGGACGGGUGAGGAAUACAUCGGAAUCUACUUUUUCGUGGGGGAUAACGUAGGGAAACUUACGCUAAUACCGCAUACGACCUACGGGUGAAAGCAGGGGAUCUUCGGACCUUGCGCGAUUGAAUGAGCCGAUGUCGGAUUAGCUAGUUGGCGGGGUAAAGGCCCACCAAGGCGACAAUCCGUAGCGGGUCUGAGAGGAUGAUCAGCCACACUGGAACUGAGACACGGUCCAGACUCCUACGGGAGGCAGCAGUGGGGAAUAUUGGACACUGGGCGCAAGCCUGAUCCAGCCAUACCGCGUGGGUGAAGAAGGCCUUCGGGUUGUAAAGCCCUUUUGUUGGGAAAGAAAAGCAGCAGGUUAAUACCCCGCUGUUCUGACGGUACCCAAAGAAUAAGCACCGGCUAACUUCGU
rnacentral:rRNA from 1 species